UAAUCAUUCACCUCUAUCUCCUAUAUGCUCGUUUGCUACCUUCUGUGUUUUUCACUGUUACAGGCUUCUACAAAGGGAUGUGAGUGGGGAUUGAUGACUUAUCAUGUCUCCUUUAUGGCUCCUGCAGAUUGUUGACAAGAAAGUCUGCGUUUAAAAUAAGCAUCAGCUACUGGGAUGCUAGUCAUGGUGCAAAUUAAGUCAGCUGUUUUCCGGAAGAAAUAUAUUUUUUACCUAAAGAAUAAACAUUGCUACGAUAAUUUUUGCUGGAAGAGAUAUGUUUACGUACAAAAUGUCUUUAGCUACUUCCUGUUGACAGAGCUGAUGGAAGUUACUAGGGUAUCUAGGGGUGUCUUCAAACGGGGAGCAUCGUUUCGUUUCAGUGUGUGAGGUUUUUUUUCCCUAGUAUGGAUACUUCCUAAAUGAUUGCACAGAGAAAAAGGCUUUACGUAAUCCAACAGUGUCAAUUAGGCAUCGGCAACCUUUCAAAGCUGCGACUAGCUUUUCUGCCCCCAGUGUCUGUCAAAGAUUGGUGUUGGCAGAGAGAUUUGCCCUGAAAAGAUGGUGGGGGGUAAGGAGUACUUCCUCCUAUCACACUCCUGAGAUGAGGGAACAGUAGCUGUAUGUGACCUCCCAGGAAGCAAAAUGGUGUUUAGAACAAACACUCUCUCAGCACUGGAAGGGGACAGUGGGAGGGGCCAGGGGCACUGUGGAACCACUUGGUCUGUGCCUCUCUGCAGGCAAAGCAGCUGGGCUUUGCGGGCCCUGUCAAGCCUCCUUUGGCUGACUUUGACCUAGACCAACGAUACUGUCAGAUUUUUAAAACAGCUUUAUUGAGGUGUAAUUGAUAUAUGAUGAGCUACGUGUAAUGUGUACCAUUGGGUAAGUUUUGACCUAAGCGUAUAGCUGUGAAGCCAUCACCACAAUCAAGACAAUAAACAAAAACAUAACUCCUAGAAGUGUCCUCA
rnacentral:lncRNA from 1 species